GUCAACUGCCAAACGGUCAUAACGCUUCAUAUAUCUGUAGUUGGCAUCAACCUCAAAUUGCAGUCUCUUCAAUUUUCUCCAAGUAGGUCCAAGCUUAAUCAAAUCACCUUCUCCGAUAACCCUACAAUUCUUGAUGCAGAGAUCUUCAAGCAUUUCAUGUUUUCCGAGAUAUUCUAGCCACUCCAUACUACUGACACUAAGA
rnacentral:misc_RNA from 1 species